rnacentral:rRNA from 1 species
UACGAAGGGGGCUAGCGUUGUUCGGAAUUACUGGGCGUAAAGCGCGCGCAGGCGGCUAUCCAAGUCAGUGGUGAAAGCCCGGAGCUCAACUCCGGAACUGCCAUUGAAACUGUUUAGCUUGAGGACGAGAGAGGUGAGUGGAAUUCCCAGUGUAGAGGUGGAAUGCGCAGAUAUCAGGAGGAACACCGGUGGCGAAGGCGGGUCUCUGGGCAGUAACUGACGCUGAGGAGCGAAAGCGUGGGGAGCGAACAGG